rfam:Canis lupus familiaris chromosome 22, whole genome shotgun sequence.
CUGAGUUAGUUCCAAACUCAAUCCAUAAGAUUUAAUAUGCUAAAUAUUGAAAUUAUUUUGCAUCAACUUAAAAAGAAAC